CCUACGGGCGUCAGCAGUGGGGAAUAUUGGACAAUGGGCGAAAGCCUGAUCCAGCCAUGCCGCGUGUGUGAAGAAGGCCUUCGGGUUGUAAAGCACUUUCAGUGGGGAAGAAAGCCUUGGGGCUAAUACCCUCGAGGAAGGACAUCACCCACAGAAGAAGCACCGGCUAACUCCGUGCCAGCAGCCGCGGUAAUACGGAGGGUGCGAGCGUUAAUCGGAAUUACUGGGCGUAAAGCGCGCGUAGGCGGUCUGAUAAGCCGGUUGUGAAAGCCCCGGGCUCAACCUGGGAACGGCAUCCGGAACUGUCAGGCUAGAGUGCAGGAGAGGAAGGUAGAAUUCCCGGUGUAGCGGUGAAAUGCGUAGAGAUCGGGAGGAAUACCAGUGGCGAAGGCGGCCUUCUGGACUGACACUGACGCUGAGGUGCGAAAGCGUGGGUAGCAAACAGGAUUAGAUACCCGUGUAGUC
rnacentral:rRNA from 1 species